CCUCCACAUGCCAAGCGACCCCACACUCAGCCCCUCCCCACGACUUCUUCCCUCUGAAGCCGACCCAGCGGCCGCUCUCAUCACCGUGAACACCGCCGCUUACCCAUCCCCCGCAUCCACACAGCCCCGCCCAGGACUGCUGCUCCAUUCCCCCGCACCAUGCCGCAGCAUCCGCUUCCCCUACCCACGCCGAUUGAGACAGAGAGAGGGAGGACACGGUUUUGGGGCGCCGCCACACGCCUGGAUCUGGGUGCCACCGUGCGCAUCCUUGCCCGAUCUGGACGCCGCCGCGCUAGCCCGUGCCGGAUCUGGCCGCCACGAUCGAGGAUUGGUGGAGGAGGGCGGUCAGAGUCUUGGUUGUGGAUGAGGGAAGGGAGCACGGGGCGGCGCCAUUGCGGCUGGAGCAGGGCUUCGCUUCGAGGGCUGCAUCACAGCGCUCGCUCUUCCGCAUAGUCCGGUGCCUGGGGGUAGAUUAUCGGUGGAUCUUACCGACAGAGAAAGUUAUCAAUGGAUAUCUCAACUUCUUGCCCUCCUAAUGUGUGAAGUUCCACUUACGCCUUAAUUCCUAAAAGGGGUGAUCGACGCGGACUACCGCAACCCGGUGGGCAUCGUGCUCUUCAACCACUCGGUGACGGACUUCACCGUGAAGCCCGGUGACCGCGUCACACAGAUGAUUGUCCAGGUGAUUGCGACGCCGGAGGUCGCCGAGGUGGAGGACCUCGAAGCCACCGUCUGGAGGUUGCCAAGGUGAAGGACCUCGACACCUUGGUAGAUACAUCUAGAGAAGUGGUCUGGUUAGGUUGGUGGUGGGACGCUAGGGAAGGUACCCACCUUUCGGUGAUGGUUGUGUGCGUCUGAUGUAUAAAUGGGAUCUCAUGAUCUUUUUUGAGUUGGGAUGUUCAAUGUUGUAUCUAUGAACGCUGCAAGUGCUAAGAAUGUAAAUGCUAGAUGGUUCUGUGACCUUUGCA